rnacentral:rRNA from 1 species
GGUAAAAAAGCUCGUAGUUGGAUUUCUGUUGAGGGCGACCGGUCCAUACAACGUAUGCGCAUCUGGCUCGGCCUCGGCAUCCUCUCGAUAGACGUUUCUGCGCUUGAUUGCGUGGAGCGGAUCUCGGGACUUUUACUUUGAGGAAAUUAGAGUGUUCACGGCAGGCUAUCGCCAGAAUACAUUAGCAUGGAAUAAUACUAUAGGAUCUUGGUUCUAUUUUGUUGGUUUCUAGAAUUGAGAUAAUGAUUAAUAGGGACAAUUGGGGGCAUUCGUAUCAACACGUCAGAGGUGGAAUUCUUGGAUUGUGUUGCGACGAACUACUGCGAAAGCAUUUGCCAAGGAUGUUUUCAUUGAUCAAGAACGAAAGUAAGGGGAUCGAAGACGAUUAGAUACCGUCGUAGUCUUUACCAUAAACUAUGCCAACUAGAGAUGGGGCAUCGUUCACUUACGACUUGCUCCGCGCCUUAUGAGAUAUCAAAGUCUUUGGGUUCCGGGGGGAGUAUGGU